UACAGCAUCGACGGAUCCGAAAUUCGGAUAUUUCGGAUGCUCCUAUACCGUUUCUUGAUUUAGAUUUAAAGCGUUACUACUUAAGCACGCAUUAUUAGUGAUUACAGUAUUGUCAAUAUAAAUACACAUUUAUUAUUAGAAAAGAGCUUUUUUAUGAUUUUAUAUUAAUUAUGAUAGUACCAAAGAUAGAAAUAUAUGAUGUCGAGAGACGGAGAGUAAAAGGAAGAGGAGAGAUGGCUAGGAAGUAGAGACGCGCGGGGCAAAAGCAUUCCAGCGAUUCAGGGAUGUAGACAGGAAGGAUGUUCGUCGAGUGCCAUCAACUUAGCUUAUGUCAUGGCAGAGCGAGUACGCUGCCGGAGCUCCUUGGACGAAGAGAGCCGAGCCGGCAUAAUAAGCUUUGUGCACCGACUACCGGGAGAGAUUCCUCUCACUGGAAGGAUUGAAGAGAUAGCAGAAGCAUCAGCGUCGGCAGCGGUAGCGACAACGUCGAGGAGCGGGGACAGAGGCGAUCGGGGGAGAUUCUCGAUGGCACGAUCGAAACUUCCGGCUCGACUCAUCAGCACGCGUCAUCCCAUAUUACGGAUAACUACUCUUUCCGCUCGUUGCGGAUCUCCAUUGUGAAAGGGACCCUUCGCCCAGCGAGGCGCGUAAAAGAGGAGGGAGGCGCUGUCUCUCCCUUAGCGGGGAUUCUGGCGUAAGGCCGAUCCUCCUCUUCUUCCAUUCAACGUCCUGCAGCAGGAUGCGCCCAUUAUUCCCUUCCGCGGUAGACCGAUACGUUGGAACGUAUCAACGUGGACAAGAAGAAUAUAAUAAUCCUGAAGA